UUCAUACAUGCAAGUCGAACGAGAAGUUGACUUCGGUCAAUGGAAAGUGGCGGACGGGUGAGUAAAAUGUAGAGAAUCUGCCCUAGAGAGGGGGACAACAGUUGGAAACGACUGCUAAUACCGCAUAUGAGCGUACCUGCAAUGGUAUUCUUGAAAGAUUUAUCGCUCUGGGAUGAGUCUGCAUCUGAUUAGUUAGUUGGCGGUGUAAUGGACCACCAAGACGACGAUCAGUAGCUGGUUUGAGAGGAUGAUCAGCCACAAUGGGACUGAGACACGGCCCAUACUCCUACGGGAGGCAGCAGUAGGGAAUUUUGCGCAAUGGGCGAAAGCCUGACGCAGCAACGCCGCGUGAUUGAAUAAGCCCUUCGGGGUGUAAAGAUCUGUCAGUGGGGACGAAACUUGACGGUACCCACAGAGGAAGCAUCGGCUAACUCCGUGCCAGCCGCGGC
rnacentral:rRNA from 1 species